CCGACGAAUAAUUACGCAAAUGCUGUUAAAUGUGAAAUGUGUGGGAACUUGCUGCGGGCUGCGCAUACUCACCAUACCGCUAAAGCGACAAGAGUAUGCAGCUGUUUGUUUUUGUUGCAAUACAACAACAAUAACAAUUGAAUUUCAUAAACAAAUUCCAGGUGCAAUGCCAAGAAGCUGAAGACAUUUUACAUUGCGUUUAUACAAUUGUUACGUUUAGUGCGUAAUUGAAAGUGUCUUGUGUAUGUGUAGGUAUGUAUAUGUGCGUGUGCGUGUUUGUUUUAUUCGUAUUCUGCGUCUCCGUCGCUCUGUCAUAAUUUAACUACGACAACAAAAAUAACAACAAGAAGAAGUCGACACCUGCGUUUUGUUUGUUUGUUGUUGGAUGUGUGAGCAGGCGUCAUAAACAAACUCUAUGCGAAUCCAACACACGCGCAAUUGCUCACUCAACAGUUAGCAACAAGUGGACAGUUAAUGUUGUUGUUGUUCCUGUUGAUGUAGAUAAAGCAAACUUCAAUUCAAACUCGGAUUUGCAUCCAAGUAAUCAAAUCGCCAGAAUCUCCAGCGCCGCCUCGUUGAGUUUAUGUUUACCAGUGUUUCAUUUACGUUUUGGUAGCGCGUUUUUAUGUGUAGCCCCCCACAGUUAGASAUCAAAUCAACGACGAGCAGCAACAGCAACAACAACAACGAUUGCAGCAACAACAACAGCAACGGGCACAUCUAACGCUGCAGCUAACAGAUGAGCCCCAACAACAGAUGUCAAUUGCUGCAGCCGAAAAUGCAGGCCUUAGCCCAG